rfam:Acidaminococcus fermentans DSM 20731, complete genome.
ACAAAAGAUAGAGGCGCGGAAAACAUCAGUAAUUCUCAGAGGGACACCGACGAAGGGAACGAAAGGGGAACCGCCGAAGCAAAGCUGCGGGUGCGCGCUUAUGCUGGGAUGCAGGUGAACAAUCUGCAGACUGUCGCCUUUGGGUGGAGAGCUAUCAAUGGG